rnacentral:rRNA from 1 species
UACGAAGGGGGCUAGCGUUGCUCGGAUUGACUGGGCGUAAAGGGCGCGUAGGCGGUUCGUACAGUCAGACGUGAAAUUCCUGGGCUCAACCUGGGGGCUGCGUUUGAUACGUGCGGACUUGAGUGCGGAAGAGGGUCGUGGAAUUCCCAGUGUAGAGGUGAAAUUCGUAGAUAUUGGGAAGAACACCGGUGGCGAAGGCAGCUCGCUGGGACGUUACUGACGCUGAGACGCGAAAGCGUGGGGAGCAAACAGG